rnacentral:rRNA from 1 species
AGCUUUGAGCUAAAUAUAUUAUAAUAUUAGUUUUUAUUUAUAAAGUGUUGUAAAACUUUAUUAAUAAAUAUAUUUAGGGGUGAUAGGCUAUUCAAAAACUAAGAUAUCUUGAAUCUAAUUAAAAGUAUGUAGUACAUUCAACACGAUUAUUAAGUGAUUAGGCUUAAUAGUAAUAUUAACUUUUUUAAAGAUUUUUUUAUUAUAAUUUAAUAACUAAAUAUUAUAAAAUAAAUUAACAUACAUAUAUAUAAAUUUAUAAGGAGUAAUUAGAUUAAUUUAAGUUUAAUUGUAAUUGUAAUAAUGUUAAUAUUAGUAUAUACAUUAUAUUUAUUUGAUGAACUCGGCAAAAUGUAUUUCUCAACUGUUUAUCAAAAACAUAACUAUGUGAAAUAAUACAUAGCGGUUUCUGCUCAAUGAUUUAUUUAAAUAGCCGCAAGUAUUCUGACUGUGCAAAGGUAGCAUAAUCAAUUGACUUAUAAUUGAAGUCUAGAAUGAACGAAAAUAAUGGGAAGCCACUAUAUUUAGUAAAUUUAUAUAAUUUAUUUAUGAAGUGAAAAUACUUCUAUAGACAUAAUAGACGAGAAGACCCUAGAAAUUUUUAGAAAUUUAAAUUUAUAUUUGAGAAUUUUUUUGUUGGGGCGACAAAGUACCCAAUUAACCUACUUAAGUUAACUUGCACUUUUUUUAUUGUUUGAAUAAAUUACUCUAGGGAUAACAGCAUAAUAUUUUAAAGUUUAUGACCUCGAUGUUGGAUUAGGAAAUAAUAACUUAAAAGGUUUUUUUUAUUGCUCUGUUCGAGCAUUAAACUCCUACAUGAUC